rnacentral:rRNA from 1 species
UACGGAGGAUGCAAGCGUUAUCCGGAAUGAUUGGGCGUAAAGCGUCCGCAGGUGGCUAUGUAAGUCUGCUGUUAAAGAGUGAGGCUCAACCUCAUAAAAGCAGUGGAAACUACAUGGCUAGAGUGCGUUCGGGGCAGAGGGAAUUCCUGGUGUAGCGGUGAAAUGCGUAGAGAUCAGGAAGAACACCGGUGGCGAAAGCGCUCUACUGGACCUCAUCUGACACUCAGGGACGAAAGCUAGGGGAGCGAAUGGG